GACGAACGCUGGCGGCGUGCUUAACACAUGCAAGUCGAACGGAAAGGCCCUGCUUUUGUGGGGUGCUCGAGUGGCGAACGGGUGAGUAACACGUGAGUAACCUGCCCUUGACUUUGGGAUAACUUCAGGAAACUGGGGCUAAUACCGGAUAGGAGCUCCUGCUGCAUGGUGGGGGUUGGAAAGUUUCGGCGGUUGGGGAUGGACUCGCGGCUUAUCAGCUUGUUGGUGGGGUAGUGGCUUACCAAGGCUUUGACGGGUAGCCGGCCUGAGAGGGUGACCGGCCCAAUGGGGACGGAGUAACGGCCCAGACUCCUAGGGGGGGCAGCGGGGGGGAAUAUUGCAAAAUGGGGGGAAGCCUGAUGCAGCAACGCCGCGGGGGGGAUGGGGGCCUUCGGGUUGUAAACCGCUUUCCCCUGUGACGAAGGGUGGGGGGGGGUAAUGGGGAAAGAAGCACCGGCAAACUACGG
rnacentral:rRNA from 1 species